rnacentral:tRNA from 2 species
UCUAUCUUUUUUUGCUAAGAAGAAUUCUGGUUCCCCCAUUUCUCUACGAAAUAUUUCUUCACCUUUACGUAAAU